CUACUGGGGUAUCUAAUCCUGUUUGCUCCCCACACUUUCGCACCUCAGCGUCAGUUUCGAGCCAGUGAGCCGCCUUCGCCACUGGUGUUCCUCCGAAUAUCUACGAAUUUCACCUCUACACUCGGAAUUCCACUCACCUCUCUCGAACUCUAGAUUGAUAGUUUUAAAGGCAGUUCCAAGGUUGAGCCUUGGGAUUUCACCCCUAACUUUCCAAUCCGCCUACGUGCGCUUUACGCCCAGUUAUUCCGAACAACGCUAGCCCCCUUCGUAUUACCGCGGCUGCUGGCAC
rnacentral:rRNA from 1 species